rnacentral:rRNA from 1 species
GACGAACGCUGGCGGCGUGCUUAACACAUGCAAGUCGAACGGAAAGGCCCUGCUUUUGUGGGGUGCUCGAGUGGCGAACGGGUGAGUAACACGUGAGUAACCUGCCCUUGACUUUGGGAUAACUUCAGGAAACUGGGGCUAAUACCGGAUAGGAGCUCCUGCUGCAUGGUGGGGGUUGGAAAGUUUCGGCGGUUGGGGAUGGACUCGCGGCUUAUCAGCUUGUUGGUGGGGUAGUGGCUUACCAAGGCUUUGACGGGUAGCCGGCCUGAGAGGGUGAACGGCCACAUUGGGACUGAGAUACGGCCCAGACUCCUACGGGAGGCAGCAGUGGGGAGUAUUGCACAAUGGGCGGAAGCCUGAUGCAGCAACGCCGCGUGCGGGAUGACGGCCUUCGGGUUGUAAACCGCUUUCGCCUGUGACGAAGCGUGAGUGACGGUAAUGGGUAAAGAAGCACCGGCUAACUACGUG